UGGGGAAUAUUGGACAAUGGGGGAAACCCUGAUCCAGCAAUGCCGCGUGAGUGAAGAAGGCCUUAGGGUUGUAAAGCUCUUUCGCCCGCGAAGAUAAUGACGGUAGCGUGCGAAGAAGCACCGGCUAACUCCGUGCCAGCAGCCGCGGUAAUACGGAGGGGGAUAGCGUUGUUCGGAAUUACUGGGCGUAAAGCGUACGUAGGCGGAUGCGCAAGUUGGGGGUGAAAUCCCGGGGCUUAAACUCGGAAUUGCCCUCAAAACUGCACGGCUUGAGACCGAGAGAGGUAACGGGAAUUCCUAGUGUAGAGCUUAAAUUCGUAGAUAUUAGGAAGAACACCAGUAGCGAAGACGCCUUACUGGCUCGGUACUGAC
rnacentral:rRNA from 1 species